UACGUAGGGGGCGAGCGUUGUCCGAAUUCACUGGGCGUAAAGCGCGCGUAGGCGGGCUUUUAAGUUGUGGGUGAAAUCCCGAGGCUUAACCUCGGAGCUGCCUGCAAAACUGGAAGCCUUGAGGUUUGGAGAGGGAAGUGGAAUUCCAGGUGUAGCGGUGAAAUGCGUAGAUAUCUGGAGGAACACCCGUGGCGAAGGCGGCUUCCUGGCCAUAUCCUGACGCUGAGGUGCGAAAGCUAGGGGAGCGAACGGG
rnacentral:rRNA from 1 species